rnacentral:tRNA from 1 species
AAUGAAUUGCCUGAUAAAAAGGAUUACCUUGAUAGGGUAAAUAAUGUAAUAUUUGUUACAUUCAUUA